UCGGGAAUUUUGGGCAAUGGGCGAAAGCCUGACCCAGCAACGCCGCGUGAAGGAUGAAGUAUUUCGGUAUGUAAACUUCGAAAGAAUAGGAAGAAUAAAUGACGGUACUAUUUAUAAGGUCCGGCUAACUACGUGCCAGCAGCCGCGGUAAUACGUAGGGACCAAGCGUUGUUCGGAUUUACUGGGCGUAAAGGGCGCGUAGGCGGCAAUUCAAGUCAUCUGUGAAAUCUCCGGGCUUAACUCGGAACGGUCAGAUGAUACUGCUUUGCUAGAGUGCAGAAGGGGCAAUCGGAAUUCUUGGUGUAGCGGUGAAAUGCGUAGAUAUCAAGAGGAACACCUGAGGUGAAGACGGGUUGCUGGGCUGACACUGAGGUGCGAAAGCCAGGGGAGCAAAUGGGAUUAGAUACCCCCGUAGUCCCUGAGCGGGCUGGCAAGGCGCAU
rnacentral:rRNA from 1 species